ACAACUUUUCUUUCGCUCUUUUCCCUCGUUCAAUUUUCUGUAUUCUUCAAUUACAUCCUAAUGCAGAACAUGAAAGCCAGGAAUAGAAAGAUGUUGCGUCUACAAGUCCACAGAGCAAAGAACCUUAUUUGACUCAGGGCCAUAGCAUGUAUGCUGUGACAUGCUCUCACCUUGAAGUAUUUCACUUCCAUGUCAAAUUGUGGAGCUGCACUAUUGGCUAGCCAAAACACUGGGAAAUUCCGUACAAAAGUCUGCCAUUUUUCUAUUGGAGAAAAUUACUAUGUCUUCUCUACAAUGUUGUAAUUUAGAGUCUGAGACCGAUGAACUAUCUGCUUUGCCUUCAGUAUUGUUGCCACAAGGUUUUGUUUCUUCUUUCUUAUGCAGAUACAUGAAAAUUUGCAUGUGUGGUCUAUAUGAUGUAUUGCUUAGGCCUUUAAUGUGCUUUUGUUGGAGGAAAAUGGUGGCCGUAAUGGCUUACGUUUUGGAGGUUUUUUUGAUACAAUUGAGGGCGUGGGAGCUGAGGAUACUGGUUUCACGUUAAGAUUACAACACAGAGACAAGAUUCACUUGCUCUAAUGACUUCAAGUGGAAGAAAUCAGAAGAAAAACUUGAUUUUACCCUGAAAUCUGCCUAGGAAAUAUUCAACCUUUGAAUGGUUCAAUUGGUUCAUCCAGGAAUUUUCAGCUGUUCGAUCUGGUUGAAUGCAAACUCAGAGAAGACUAAAAGUCUUUGAAACUUGGUGAAAGCCAGCGAAGAAAUUCACUAGAAACCAGACCAGUUUGGCCGAGGUUUUCUAUUGGUGCUCUCGAUUAUAUUUGCUGUCUUUUGAUGGAGUCCUUGAUUUAUUUGAUUUCUUUUUGUGUUUCCUUUGCAUACUAGUUGCUUGUCAGGGGGUCUGGAACUAAGGCAUGGGCAAAAAGAGUGAUAGACUGAUAGUGAUUGAUGGUGUUUGCAAGGCUUCUGGAAAUAGAUCUAAGGCUUUCAUUGGCCCAAUCUAUGGGAUUUAUUCAUAAAUUGGGCACUAACAUUUUGAUUCCCCCACUAGGGUUAUCUCUAUUUAUACAGCCCAAACAAAAGGCAUAUCCCGGACUCCAUUUUCUUAUUGCCUGAUAUCUGUUCCUUUUGAUGCUUUCCUCCCCACCUUCCUUUCCACCUUCUGCCUCUCCUGUUCUUGCUCUGUCUUUUCCCUCCUAUAGGAACAUGUUGAUUGCUGGUGGCCAUCCAUAGUUUUCUUGAUUGAAAGAUAGGUUUAUAAAUUUGGCAUACUGAAUUUGGCCUCUUGAAAUUGUAUUUUAAUUUGUUUUAGAGUUUUUGCUUGAAAAUCAGAAAAGGCAUCAGGGGUUAUGGUUGAGUUUGGGCUUUUGUUAGCUGCUAGUGAAUUUUCAACAUGUUAAGUCAAAUCAAAUUUCAGCUCUCUUUGGUUUCCUGAUCAUAGAAGCUAUUCUUCAACUGAACUAUUGUGUUCUCUCAUUAUUAACCUUUUUAUUGUUUGGGCCUAAUGAAGAUGGGAUGAGAAACUGACAGAGUGGUGAUACCAUGCGUUAGUGGAUAGAUUAGGUAAUAGGUCAUGCAUCAGUAACAGUUCAGCCAACAAAUCAAAGAUCAAGGGUAGUUCAGCCACAGAGUUGCUAUCAUAUAGAGAAAUGCUAUCUAGGCUCUCACUCUUUUUGUUUUUUUCUUUUUAAUAGAUUAAGGUAAAACAUAGAGAAAUGCAGAAAUAUGGAAGAGAUGCAGAAACAUAACCACACAAUAGGAUGCACUUGGGCAAUGUAAUGUUAUUUCUGCAAAAAUUUUUUAAACAUUGUCUCACCAUCUAUUAUCUUGAAUGAACCUGUCAAGUCCAAUCAUGUAAUUGGAAACAAAGAGGUUAUAAUCUCUAUAGAAUUUUCUAUUCAGUUAGUAUCAGUGUAUAUUUCAUGCUUGCAGAAAUAAAAAGGGCAGAUGGUUGACAUGUGAGCUAACAUCAGAAUUCUCUGUUUCUGAGCUUGUUCCUUCUCUCUCCAUAAUCUCUCUCCAUAGAAUUUUCUAUCUCCAGGGUUGUUGCCAGCCAUACCUUUAUCAGAAUCCAAUUCCUUUUUUUUUCUGUUUUUAAAUCUACAUGACUUAGCAUGUGAAUCUUAUUUUGCCGAAGCAAGCUAAGUAUUUUAACUCUUUCCAUUUUGUUUGAAGCUCCUUUAUGGUUUUAAAUUCUUACCCUGAGAAUCUAGACGUUGUUAUGUCAGAAUAUUCUGUUUGAGAAUGACAUUUUAGCAGUUGCUGUAAAUCAUUAUGUAAUGUGUCAUCCGAUGAGUAGUUUUUCUAACCAGUCAUAGAGAAAUUGGAAAAAGAAACAUUUGUACGUGUCUUUUGAUACAUUGAUUUUGCCAAAGAAAGCUUCUGCGUGUAUUAAUAAUUCUGUGCAUUGGAUUAGCAAGUUUGGGCAUUUCUUGCAUUUUGAUAUGGAUAAAGAGUGCGUUCAAAUGAUGCCGGCAACUCCAAUAUCUAGGGAAAGUGAAAAAGGUUGAUUCUGUACUUUGGGUCUACAAAGGGGCAGCUGCAUCUGAUUGAAAUGCGGAGGUCAAACACUGCUUUGGCAUAUAUCUUGGAGAUGAAGAGGGACUACUCAGGAUGAACCUCGCAGAUUCUGCCUUGUAAUAUCAACUGCAAUGGGCACGCGACUGGUGCAACUUUCUCAUAAUUCAAAACAUUUUGGUAGGGUAAGGUCUCUUUGUGAACCUGACCAGGGUUUCAUGACACAAUUCAAGUGGUACAGAUGCCACCCUCAUAUCAUGACCCUCACAGCUGUUUGAUUGAUGCCGGCAAAAGUAAAGCUAUCAGAAGUUUAUUUAGUGAAGGAUCUUUCAAUUCAUGUAAUAUGUCAAACCUGACAUUCACCUUUCCUGGUUCCAAAGAUAAGAUUAUACAGGUGCUAUGUGUAUCGGUUGAACUCUACAUGCAUCUUUUUCUUUUCAAACAUUGA